AGGAGGAACAACCCCAGUGGUGGCGGCCAGCUCUGGAGCCCUGGAGUCAGCUCCUGCAGUAACAAGGAGCUCUCCGUCUUCAGGGGCCUGGAGGCUCCGGGGUGGG
rnacentral:pre_miRNA from 1 species